rnacentral:rRNA from 1 species
AGAGUUUGAUCCUGGCUCAGAUUGAACGCUGGCGGCAUGCCUUACACAUGCAAGUCGAACGGCAGCGCGGGGCAACCUGGCGGCGAGUGGCGAACGGGUGAGUAAUAUAUCGGAACGUACCCUGGAGUGGGGGAUAACGUAGCGAAAGUUACGCUAAUACCGCAUACGAUCUAAGGAUGAAAGUGGGGGAUCGCAAGACCUCAUGCUCCUGGAGCGGCCGAUAUCUGAUUAGCUAGUUGGUGGGGUAAAGGCCUACCAAGGCAUCGAUCAGUAGCUGGUCUGAGAGGACGACCAGCCACACUGGAACUGAGACACGGUCCAGACUCCUACGGGAGGCAGCAGUGGGGAAUUUUGGACAAUGGGCGCAAGCCUGAUCCAGCAAUGCCGCGUGAGUGAAGAAGGCCUUCGGGUUGUAAAGCUCUUUUGUCAGGGAAGAAACGGUGAGGGCUAAUAUCCCUUGCUAAUGACGGUACCUGGAGAAUAAGCACCGGCUAACUACGUGCCAGCAGCCGCGGUAAUACGUAGGGUGCAAGCGUUAAUCGGAAUUACUGGGCGUAAAGCGUGCGCAGGCGGUUUUGUAAGUCUGUCGUGAAAUCCCCGGGCUCAACCUGGGAAUUGCGAUGGAGACUGCAAGGCUAGAAUCUGGCAGAGGGGGGUAGAAUUCCACGUGUAGCAGUGAAAUGCGUAGAGAUGUGGAGGAACACCGAUGGCGAAGGCAGCCCCCUGGGUCAAGAUUGACGCUCAUGCACGAAAGCGUGGGGAGCAAACAGGAUUAGAUACCC